GACGUAGGAUGCAAGCGUUGUCCGGAUUUAUUGGGCGUAAAGAGCUCGUAGGCGGCUUGUCGCGUCGACCGUGAAAACUUGGGGCUCAACCCCAAGCCUGCGGUCGAUACGGGCAGGCUAGAGUUCGGUAGGGGAGACUGGAAUUCCUGGUGUAGCGGUGAAAUGCGCAGAUAUCAGGAGGAACACCGGUGGCGAAGGCGGGUCUCUGGGCCGAUACUGACGCUGAGGAGCGAAAGCGUGGGGAGCGAACAGG
rnacentral:rRNA from 1 species